GAAAUGCGAUAAGUAAUGUGAAUUGCAGAAUUCAGUGAAUCAUCGAAUCUUUGAACGCACAUUGCGCUCUUUGGUAUUCCGGAGAGCAUGCCUGUUUGAGAAUCAGUAAAUUCAUCAAUCGCUUCAUUGCGGUUGGAUCUGGGCCUUUUGCGACCAUGUCUGUGGUCCCAAUGGCCUGAAAUUCAAUGUUACGCUUCCCUGGAUCAACAAUCCUCGGGCAUACGCAUGAAUGAGGAAACUCACAAAUACGUUUGCUUUUGAUUGCUGUUGGUUGUGGUGGAAUGGGUGACCCAAUUAUCAUCCGGAGGAGGUGGCGUCAGUCAUCUUUUUCUGAACACUUGACCUCAAAUCAGGUAAGAAAACCCGCCGAAUUUAA
rnacentral:misc_RNA from 1 species